AUUGAACGCUGGCGGCAUGCCUUACACAUGCAAGUCGAACGGCAGCACGGGAGCAAUCCUGGUGGCGAGUGGCGAACGGGUGAGUAAUAUAUCGGAACGUGCCCAGUCGUGGGGAUAACGUAGCGAAAGCUACGCUAAUACCGCAUACGAUCUAUGGAUGAAAGCGGGGGAUCGCAAGACCUCGCGCGAUUGGAGCGGCCGAUAUCAGAUUAGGUAGUUGGUGAGGUAAAGGCUCGCCAAGCCGACGAUCUGUAGCUGGUCUGAGAGGACGACCAGCCACACUGGGACUGAGACACGGCCCAGACUCCUACGGGAGGCAGCAGUGGGGAAUUUUGGACAAUGGGCGCAAGCCUGAUCCAGCAAUGCCGCGUGCAGGAUGAAGGCCUUCGGUUGUAAACGUG
rnacentral:rRNA from 1 species